UCCAGACUCCUACGGGAGGCAGCAGUGGGGGAUAUUGCACAAUGGGGGGAACCCUGAUGCAGCGACGCCGCGUGGGUGAAGGAGCGUUUCGGCGCGUAAAGCCCUAUCGGCAGGGAAGAAGGAGGACGGUACCUGACUAAGAAGCCCCGGCUAACUACGUGCCAGCAGCCGCGGUAAUACGUAGGGGGCAAGCGUUAUCCGGAUUUACUGGGUGUAAAGGGGGCGCAGACGGCAGCGCAAGCCAGGAGUGAAAGCCCGGGGCCCAACCCCGGGACUGCUCUUGGAACUGCGCGGCUGGAGUGCAGGAGGGGCAGGCGGAAUUCCUGGUGUAGCGGUGAAAUGCGUAGAUAUCAGGAGGAACACCGGUGGCGAAGGCGGCCUGCUGGACUGCGACCGACGUUGAGGCCCGAAAGCGUGGGGAGCAAACAGGAUUAGAUACCCGGGUA
rnacentral:rRNA from 1 species